rnacentral:rRNA from 1 species
UGUCGCGUGAGUGAAGAAGGCCUUCGGGUUGUAAAGCUCUUUUGUCAGGGAAGAAACACCGGCUCUAACACAGUCCGGGAAUGACGGUACCUGAAGAAUAAGCACCGGCUAACUACGUGCCAGCAGCCGCGGUAAUACGUAGGGUGCGAGCGUUAAUCGGAAUUACUGGGCGUAAAGCGUGCGCAGGCGGUUGUACAAGACAGGCGUGAAAUCCCCGGGCUUAACCUGCGAAUGGCGCCUGUGACUGUACGGCUAGAGUGUGUCAGAGGGGGGUAGAAUUCCACGUGUAGCAGUGAAAUGCGUAGAUAUGUGGAGGAAUACCAAUGGCGAAGGCAGACCCCUGUGGAUAACACUGACGCUCAUGCACGAAAGCGUGGGGAGCAAACAGGAUUAGAUACCCUGAUAGUCCACGCCCUAAACGAUGCUGACUAGUAGUUCGGGAUU